rnacentral:rRNA from 1 species
GGUAAUGUCUGGGAAACUGCCUGAUGGAGGGGGAUAACUACUGGAAACGGUAGCUAAUACCGCAUAACGUCGCAAGACCAAAGAGGGGGACCUUCGGGCCUCUUGCCAUCGGAUGUGCCCAGAUGGGAUUAGCUAGUAGGUGGGGUAAAGGCUCACCUAGGCGACGAUCCCUAGCUGGUCUGAGAGGAUGACCAGCCACACUGGAACUGAGACACGGUCCAG